AUUGAACGCUGGCGGCAGGCCUAACACAUGCAAGUCGAACGGUAACAGGAAACAACUUGCUGUUUCGCUGUCGAGUGGCGGGGGGGUGAGUGAUGUCUGGGAAACUGUCUGAUGGAGGGGGGUAACUCCUGGAAACGGUAACUAAUACCGCAUAACGUCGCAAGAGCAAAAAGGGGGACCUUCUGGCCCCUUGCCAGCGUAUGUGCCCAGAUGGGAUUAGCUAGUGGGUGGGGUAACGGCUCACCUAGGCGACGAUCCCUAGCUGGUCUGAGAGGAUGACCAGCCACACUGGAACUGAGACACGGUCCAGACUCCUACGGGAGGCAGCAGUGGGGAAUAUUGCACAAUGGGCGCAAGCCUGAUGCAGCCAUGCCGCGUGUAUGAAGAAGGCCUUCGGGUUGUAAAGUACUUUUAGCGGGGAAGAAGGGAGUAAAGUUAAUACCUUUGCUCAUUGACGUUACCCGAAGAAGAAGCACCGGCUAACUUCGUG
rnacentral:rRNA from 1 species